ACUGCCGGUAAAAGCCGGAGGAAGGUGAGGAGUGAUGUCAAGUCAGCAUGACCUUUAUAUCCAGGGCUACACACACGCUACAAUGGUCUGUACAAUGGGUAGCCAAGCCGCGAGGCGGAGCCAAUCCUGAAAGCAAGGCCUCAGUUCAGAUUGCAGUCUGCAACUCGACUGCAUGAAGCCGGAGUUGCUAGUAACCGCAGGUCAGCAAUACUGCGGUGAAUACGUUCCCGGGUCUU
rnacentral:rRNA from 1 species